rnacentral:sRNA from 1 species
UCGCUGGAGCGGUGCCAGUCCCUGGAGGAGAUUCAGCGGCUGUAUGAAGCAGGCGACUACAAGGCUGUUGUGCAUCUGCUCCGCCCCACUUUGUGCACCAGUGGGUUUGACCGGGCCAAACACCUGGAGUUUAUGACUUCCAUUCCUGAGAGGCCAGCCCAGCUGCUUCUGCUGCAGGACUCCUUGCUCCGGCUGAAGGACUAUCGGCAGUGUUUUGAGUGUUCCGACGUGGCUCUGAAUGAGGCUGUCCAGCAGAUGGUGAACUCAAGUGAGGCUGCAGCCAAGGAGGAGUGGGUGGCCACAGUGACCCAACUGCUGAUGGGCAUCGAGCAGGCCCUCUCUGCGGACAGCAGUGGUAGCAUCCUGAAGGUAUCAUCCUCCACCACUGGCCUUGUGCGGCUCACCAACAACCUCAUCCAGGUAACCCCUGGCUCCUUCUCACCCUGCCCUGCCCCGGCAGGUAUGUCUCUCUGACAUCCUGCUUCUUCAGUAGUUCAUAGCUUUCAUUGCUAAUUAGGCACCCAAAGGGGACAUGAUGGCUUCUUUGGCUGGAACUUUCGG